GUGGGCAGGAUAACACUGAAAAUUUACAAGCUGCUGGGAGAGGCUGGAUAUGUGUUAGAGAAAGUCCCAAACUUCAAGAGAAGUCCUGUGCUUUGUGUCUGAAGGUGAUGGAGCCCCUCAGGAGUAAAAUACUGAAAGAUUCAGUUAACACCUCUGCUGUCAGAUGUAACUGUAUAAAGAAGAACUUGUCAAGAUCUUUCCAUUUUGGACAUCUGCUCUCUAAAAUAAACUGAUAACAAAGCA